rnacentral:rRNA from 1 species
CACUCCUGCGGGAGGCAGCAGUGGGGAAUUUUGGACAAUGGGCGAAAGCCUGAUCCAGCAAUGCCGCGUGUGUGAAGAAGGCCUUCGGGUUGUAAAGCACUUUUGUCCGGAAAGAAAUCCUUGGCUCUAAUACAGUCGGGGGAUGACGGUACCGGAAGAAUAAGCACCGGCUAACUACGUGCCAGCAGCCGCGGUAAUACGUAGGGUGCGAGCGUUAAUCGGAAUUACUGGGCGUAAAGCGUGCGCAGGCGGUUUGCUAAGACCGAUGUGAAAUCCCCGGGCUCAACCUGGGAACUGCAUUGGUGACUGGCAGGCUAGAGUAUGGCAGAGGGGGGUAGAAUUCCACGUGUAGCAGUGAAAUGCGUAGAGAUGUGGAGGAAUACCGAUGGCGAAGGCAGCCCCCUGGGCCAAUACUGACGCUCAUGCACGAAAGCGUGGGGAGCAAACAGGAUUAGAUACCCCAGUAGUCCC